CGUCGGGAAGGAGAAGGCGCCCAGGAGCGGUCCUCCCCUCGCCGGGGCAGCCGGACCUCGGCACGGUGGCCUUAGGGGCUGGGCCGGGAGCCCGCGUAGAGGAGGAGGAAGCGGCGGUGAUCGCCCCCGAGGGCUCCGCGGGGUGCGCACUCACCGCCCAGGCCCUCGGGAGGCAGCGGCCCGCUCUCCACUCCGGGCCCGCAGGACCGCCAUGGACCCGGUUGCUCUGCGCGGGAGCCGCAGGAGGCAGUCCAGAUGUUCACGUUGCCAAACUGAAAUCCUGGAGCAGAGUUUCUACAACUGUGCCACUGGAUGGAGACAACACGGAAGGAGAGACAAGCCUUACAGAGACAAUGUCCAGCACCGGGCAGGAUGCGGGAGGAAAGAGCUUGUAGCUGGUGCUGGUGGGAGAAGGAAAUGGUACAAGCGCGGCGGAAAACCUGUGGCAGUUACCCAGUGACAUUGACACACGUGCUCUCCGAUUCUGCCAAAUCACGGGGAGCACAGGCCACAGAAAGGCCUGCACACCCCUGAAAGAUGCUCACAGGGACGUCGCGGCUCUGCUCCUCCUCACGAGGGAAGAGGGAAACGGCUGUAAUACCCGUCUAUGGUAGAAAAGAUCGAUAACUUGGAAACGGGUAAAUAUUCAGAAUGAAAUGUUAUCCCGUAACCCAAAUGAACCCUCUGUAACUCCUCUCAACAGUGCGGAUGAACCUCACAAAGAAAAUGUGCGAAAGGAACUAACUAGAAAAUACACGGUACUGUACGAUUCUAUUUAUGUAAUGUGCAAAAACGAAUGCACUGAUAAAAGCUAAGAUCAUAAUUAUCUCUGGGCAUGGGCAGAGGACAGGAAGGACUUCUGGAUGUGGUAAUGUUCUCUUUAUUAAUCUGGUGACACGUGCG
rnacentral:lncRNA from 1 species